rnacentral:rRNA from 1 species
UGGAAACGACUGCUAAGACUGGAUAGGAGACAAGAAGGCAUCUUCUUGUUUUUAAAAGACCUAGCAAUAGGUAUGCUUAGGGAGGGGCUUGCGUCACAUUAGUUAGUUGGUGGGGUAAAGGCCUACCAAGACUAUGAUGUGUAGCCGGGCUGAGAGGUUGAACGGCCACAUUGGGACUGAGACACGGCCCAAACUCCUACGGGAGGCAGCAGUAGGGAAUUUUCGGCAAUGGAGGAAACUCUGACCGAGCAACGCCGCGUGAACGAUGAAGUAUUUCGGUACGUAAAGUUCUUUUAUUAAGGAAGAAUAAAUGAUGGAAAAAUCAUUCUGACGGUACCUAAUGAAUAAGCCCCGGCUAACUAUGUGCCAGCAGCCGCGGUAAUACAUAGGGGGCAAGCGUUAUCCGGAAUUAUUGGGCGUAAAGGGUGCGUAGGCGGUUAAAUAAGUUUGUGGUCUAAGUGCAAUGCUCAACAUUGUGAUGCUAUAAAAACUGUUUAGCUAGAGUAAGAUAGAGGCAAGUGGAAUUCCAUGUGUAGUGGUAAAAUGCGUAAAUAUAUGGAGGAACACCAGUAGCGAAGGCGGCUUGCUGGGUCUUUACUGACGCUGAGGCACGAAAGCGUGGGGAGCAAACAGGAUUAGAUACCCUGGUAGUCCACGCCGUAAACGAUGAGUACUAAACGUUGGUUAAAACCAGUGUUGAAGUUAACACAUUAAGUACUCCGCCUGAGUAGUACGUACGCAAGUAUGAAACUUAAAGGAAUUGACGGGACUCCGCACAAGCGGUGGAUCAUGUUGUUUAAUUCGAAGGUACCCGAAAAACCUCACCAGGUCUUGACAUGCUUCUGCAAAGCUGUAGAAACACAGUGGAGGUUAUCAGUUGCACAGGUGGUGCAUGGUUGUCGUCAGCUCGUGUCGUGAGAUGUUGGGUUAAGUCCCGCAACGAGCGCAACCCUUAUUGUUAGUUACCAGCACGUAAUGGUGGGGACUUUAGCAAGACUGCCAGUGAUAAAUUGGAGGAAGGUGGGGACGACGUCAAAUCAUCAUGCCCCUUAUGACCUGGGCUACAAACGUGAUACAAUGGCUGUUACAAAGGGUAGCUGAAGCGCAAGUUUUUGGCGAAUCUCAAAAAAACAGUCUCAGUUCGGAUUGAAGUCUGCAACUCGACUUCAUGAAGUUGGAAUCGCUAGUAAUCGCGAAUCAGCAUGUCGCGGUGAAUACGUUCUCGGGGUUUGUACACACCGCCCGUCAAAC